CCAGUAGCCGCGGUAAUUCCAAUUUUGAGAGCCGGACUGGGCAUGCUGCCGGGAAUCAUGAGGCUCCUACCCGACGCGGAAGUUGGAUUUCUUGGAAUCAAACGAAAUGAAGAGACGCUUCAGCCAGAAACUUACGCCAAUCGACUUCCAGAGAAUCUAAGUGGUAGGUCAGUGAUUCUCAUAGACCCAAUGCUCGCGACCGGUGGGACGCUGAAAGACUCGCUGGAUUACGCAUUUGAACGCGGAGCAAAUAGCGCUGUAUGCAUUUGCCUUCUUGGCGCCACACAGGGGGUAGAAGCCGUGAGACUCCAUGUAAUUGCCCGUUGGCCAGAUAGGACCGUAAGCAUUUUCCUGGCAGCACUCGAUCAAGAACGAAAGU
rnacentral:rRNA from 1 species